rnacentral:rRNA from 1 species
AUUGAACGCUGGAGGCAGGCCUAACACAUGCACGUAGAACGAGUGGCGGACGGGUGAGUAAUGACUGGGCAACUGCCUGAUGGAGGGGGAUAACUACUGGAAACGGUAGCUAAUACCGCACACCAUCAGAUGUGCCCAGAUGGGAUUAGCCAGUAGGUGGGGUAAAGGCUCAACUAGGCGACGAUCCCUAGCUGGUCUGAGAGGAUGAUCGACCACAGUGGGGCUGAGAAGAGGCCCAGACUCCUACGAGAAGCAGCAGUGAGGAAUAUUGCACAAUGGGCGCAAGCGUGAUGCAGCCAUGCCGCGUAUAUGAAGAAGGCCUUCGGGUUGUAAAGUACUUUCAACGAUGAGGCGUUACUCGCAGAAGAAGCCCCGGCUAACUCCGUACCAGCCGCCGCGGUAAUUC